CCUACGGGUGGCAGCAGUGAGGAAUUUUGCGCAAUGGGGGAAACCCUGACGCAGCAACGCCGCGUGAGUGAUGAAGGCCUUCGGGUCGUAAAGCUCUGUCAAGUGGGAAGAAAGUGGGGGAGUCGAACAGGCUUUUUUAUUGACGGUACCACUGAAGGAAGCACCGGCUAACUCCGUGCCAGCAGCCGCGGUAAUACGGAGGGUGCGAGCGUUAUUCGGAAUUAUUGGGCGUAAAGGGCGCGUAGGCGGCCGAAAAAGUCAGCUGUGAAAUCCCGGGGCUUAACCCCGGAAGUGCGGUUGAAACUAUUUGGCUUGAGUAUGGGAGAGGGAAGUGGAAUUCCUGGUGUAGAGGUGAAAUUCGUAGAUAUCAGGAGGAACACCGGUGGCGAAGGCGACUUCCUGGACCAAUACUGACGCUGAUGCGCGAAGGCGUGGGUAGCAAACAGGAUUAGAUACCCGGGUAGUC
rnacentral:rRNA from 1 species